UGACCUCAAAUCAGGUAGGA
rnacentral:rRNA from 4 species